ACGAGGGAUAUUGGCCAAGUCAAAUGCAUCAAGGACGGAGCAGGCCAACUCUUGGUGAAGGACGAAGAGAUUAAGCAUAGAUGGCGGGAGUACUUCGACAAGCUGUUCAAUGGGGAGAAUGAGAGUUCUACCAUUGAACUGAAUGACUCCUUUGAUGAGACCAGCAUGCGUUUUGUGCGGCGCAUCCAGGAGUCUGAGGUGAAGGAGGCUUUAAAAAGGAUGAAAGGAGGCAAGGCGAUGGGCCCUGAUUGUAUCCCCAUUGAGGUGUGGAAAGGUCUCGGGGACGUAGCGAUAGUAUGGCUAACCAAGCUUUUCAACCUCAUUUUUCGGGCAAACAAGAUGCCAGAAGAAUGGAGACGGAGUAUAUUAGUACCAAUCUUCAAGAACAAGGGGGAUGUUCAGAGUUGUACUAAUUACCGUGGAAUUAAGCUGAUGAGCAAUACAAUGAAGCUAUGGGAGAGAGUCAUUGAGCACCGCUUAAGAAGAAUGACAAGCGUGACCAAAAAUCAGUUUGGUUUCAUGCCUGGGAGGUCGACCAUGGAAGCCAUUUUCUUGGUACGACAACUUAUGGAGAGAUAUAGGGAGCAUAAGAAGGACUUGCAUAUGGUGUUCAUUGACUUGGAGAAGGCCUAUGAUAAGAUACCGCGGAAUGUCAUGUGGUGGGCCUUGGAGAAACACAAAGUCCCAGCAAAGUACAUUACGCUCAUCAAGGACAUGUACAAUAAUGUUGUGACAAGUGUUCGAACAAGUGAUGUCGACACCGAUGACUUCCCGAUUAAGAUAGGACUGCAUCAGGGGUCAGCUUUGAGCCCUUAUCUUUUUGCAUUGGUGAUGGAUGAGGUCAGAAGGGGUAUACAAGGAGAUAUCCCAUGGUGUAUGCUCUUUGCGGAUGAUGUGGUGCUAGUUGACGAUAGUCGGAUGGGGGUAAAUAGGAAGUUAGAGUUAUGGAGACAAACCUUGGAAUCGAAAGGGUUUAGGCUUAGUAGAACUAAAACCGAGUACAUGAUGUGCGGUUUCAGUACUACUAGCUGUGAGGAGGAGGAGGUUAGCCUUGAUGGCCAGGUGGUACCUCAGAAGGACACCUUUCGGUAUUUGGGGUCAAUGUUGCAGGAGGAUGGGGGUAUUGAUGAAGAUGUGAACCAUCGAAUCAAAGCCGGAUGGAUGAAGUGGCGCCAAGCUUCUGGCAUUCUCUGUGACAAGAGAGUGCCACAAAAGCUAAAAGGCAAGUUCUACAGGACGGCGGUUCGACCCGCAAUGUUGUAUGGCGCGGAGUGUUGGCCGACUAAAAGGCGACAUGUUCAACAGUUAGUUGUGGCAGAGAUGCGUAUGUUGAGAUGGAUGUGUGGCCACACGAGGAAGGAUCGAGUCCGGAAUGAUGAUAUACGAGAUAGAGUUGGGGUAGCACCAAUUGAGGAGAAGCUUGUCCAACAUCGUUUGAGAUGGUUUGGGCAUAUUCAGCGCAGGCCUCCAGAAGCUCCAGUGCAUAGCGGACGGCUAAAGCGUGCGGAGAAUGUCAAGAGAGGGCGGGGUCGACCGAUUUUGACAUGGGAAGAGUCCAUUAAGAGAGACCUGAAGGAUUGGAGUAUCGACAAAGAGCUAGCUAUGGAC
rnacentral:rRNA from 1 species